GUGCGCGCGUGGUGAACGGUUGUUUCUCGGCUGCUCGUCGCGAGAUUGCAGUUUCUUCGAUUUGCGAAUUGCGAUUGUGCGACUUCUGGACUGCCGGACUCCGAGUUUUAGUUGAUUGUUGUGAUUUUGAGCGUUCUGGACCCGGACAAAACGUAAUUGUUGUUACCUUUGACGCUCUCUGGGGGCAGAGACAAGUACUACAACAAAAAGUUAUCCAGAAAGAAGAAGAAAAGCACCAAAAAGAUGUGAGAGAUGCAUAAUUAAAACUAGACCUUAGACUAAAAAGUAGAAAAGACGAAGGAAGACGAAG